rnacentral:lncRNA from 1 species
GCGGAGCGUUACCUCAGCGAGGAGACAACGGCUGGGAGCCGCCAUGACAGUUCUGGGUCGGCCUGACGGCGUCGUGACGUUGUGACGUCAGCACGUAAACGUAAGGGGGCGGAGCGUCACCUCAGUGAGGAGACCUGCUGGGCGCCGACAUGACAGUUCUUGGUCGGCGUCGUGACGUCAGUGCGUCGUGACGUCAUGACGUUGAAGGGAAAGGGGGCGGAGCGUUACCUCAGCGAGACCCCCGCCAUGACACUUCUUCGUCCUCCCACAGCCACCGACGUGAUGACGUCGUGACGUCAGCACGCACGCGCAAAAGGGCGGAGCAUUACCUCAGCGAGGAGAGAGCGGCUGGGCGCCGCCAUGACACUUCUUGUUCGGCCUCCCGACGUCGUGACGUCAGUGCGUCGUGACGUAAGACGUAAAGGGGCGGGGCUUUACCUCAGCAAGGAGAGACACCGCCAUGACACUUCUUCGUCUUCCCGACGUCAUGACGUCAUGACGUAAAGGGGGCGGAGCGUUACCUCAGCGGGGAGGGCGCCGCCAUGACACUUCUUCGGCCUCACACCGCCGCAGACGUCGUAACGUGGUGACGUAGUGACGUCAUGACGUUAGGCGUAGAGGGGGCGGAGCGUUACCUCAGCGAGGAGAGAGCGGCUGGGCGCCGCCAUGAUACUUCUUCGGCCUCCUGACGUAGUGACGUGGUGGCGUCAGCACGCACACGCACGGGGGCGGAGCGUUACCUCAGCGAGGAGGGACCCGGAUGGAGGCGGAGGGGAGCGGAGGGGGGUGAGGAAUGGGGGUGAUUAAUGCGGGAUGAAUGCAUAAUUAAUGAGGGGUUAAUGAGGUGUUAAUGAGGGGUUAAUGAGAUGUUAAUGGGGGGUUAAUGGGGUUGUGUCCGCAGCGCCUCCCCCCAUCCCGGCCCCGGCUGCAAGCGGCGGACGGCGGCGUGUGAGGGGGAGGCUCCGCCCCCCCCCAAGCAGAGGUUACCGGAGGCUGUGGCCGCCGCUCGGCUCCGGGUGCUGGGAGCUCAGCACGACCACGGCUACAGCGGGAACGGCCUCCCCCCGAGGUGCGUGUGGGGGAUCUAUAGGGGGUCUAUGGGGGGGCUAUGGGGGUCUAAGGGUGGGCUGUGGGGGGUCUUUUGGGGUCCAUGGGGGUCUAUGGGGCUCUAUGGAGGGUUAAUGGGGGGCUAUGGGGGUCCAUGGGGGUCUAUGAGGGGUAUAUGGGGGUCUAUGGGGCUCUAUGGGGGGGUC